UAGUUGUCUUCAUGCUCACUAGAGGUACAGUACAAACCUUGGUUUGUUGUUUUGUCAAUUUUGUUUAUUGAUUUCUUCACACUUAACUUUUACCAUGCUUGAGCUUUUGCAUGUAGUGCUGUGGGGGUCUGGCAGUAUUUUGUAGUAAUUACUGUGAGCAAGCUUCUUAGUUGAAGAAAUGAAAAUAUUGAUGAUUUUUUUGGGUACUGCCAACCCCUUAAAAGUUGUUAGGAGUGCCAAAGUUGUAGCCUGCUGUUGAACAGGUUGUCCCAUCUCCUGUGGUUUUCAUGUUUUAUUGGGGCAUUAGUUGGUUGGGGGCUGUCUUUGGGAUUUGAAAGUAUUUGCAAGUGUUCCAUCAGGCUUUGAACGUGGAACACCUGAGGCAAUUGCACUUCUGUACGGUUAGAAAUUGAUAUACAUAAAUUCUUUGGUAUUUUAUUGAGUUACUGUCUCUGUGCUUUUUUACAUGGGGUCUGAAUAGCAGUGAGACAAUAUGGAAAUUGCCAUUUAUGUAAGCUGGAGAAGAACUCUGCCUGGUGAUGACAUUUCAAAUAAUUUAAUGGGAAAAUAAUUAAAGGCCAAAUGGAGUUGAUGAGUGUCAAAAUUCAGAUGAACACAAAUGAUUGCAAAUAUAUUUCUCACUGUUGUUUUUUAAAGAGGUGCUUUCAACUUUGAGUAUAGCAAUUAAUGAUUCAUUGAGAAAUCCUUAAGUAGUUGGAGUAGCAGGUCUACUCCAGAAAUAGAACUCUGAAGUAAAUCUUGAUUAUUGGAAAUUUGUUAUUGCUCUUAAUGUCAGAAGCUGGUGUUGGACGUUGAAAUCAUCAAGGAAAUAGAACGUGUCAUACUCUUGGUAACAUUGAUGUCGUGAUUUAAUAGGGCUAUACCCAGUCAAUAUUUUGUAACUAGAUUUUAAGCAGUUUAGAUGUAGAUAUAUUUUGGACAUGUUCUGACUGCCACUUUAGAACUGCAAUCAUUCAACCCAUUUUUCAUUUGUAAUCUUAAUGAUGCUUGAGAUGUUUUUGAUGACAUUCAUAUUUCUUGUUUGUAGUUAUGAAUUUUUUUGAGCUUUCUUUGACAGAAUUUGCAUGCAAAAUGGCUGUCACUAUUGGAAAUAUGGUUUGUUUUUAUGUUGGUUUGAAAUAUAGUGAGAUCCGUUUUGGAUAAGAUAACUCGAUUUCUCAACUUAUUUCUGUCAACCAGUAUUUACUUUUAUUUCUCUAAAAGAUGGUUGCUAUUUGAGUUUGUUGUUGUUGCAGUUGUGCAAAAUUUUGUAUGUCGAAAAGUGGUUGUUCUUGACAUUAAGUUUUAUCUUGUUGUUUUGGUGGGGUGGGGUGGAGUGUGGUGGGUGGAAUUUUGUACUUCAUCAAGUGACCGACUUGAAAAAUAAUUUAUUUUUACUUUCUUUUUAUUUAUUUAUUUAUAUCAUACAGGGCGGGCCUAAUUCUCUAAUCUCUUUUUAUUUUCUAUGUCUAUGCCUGCAGUUCUUUGUUUCUUUGGAAAGCA
rnacentral:misc_RNA from 1 species